UUCCGGAUGGCGUAGUGGUCAACGCAUCUGCCUAGCAAGCAGGAUACCUGGGUUCGGAUCCCAGUCCAGAAC